CAUGCCUGAGAAAGUCAUAAAGGAAUGACCAAAUGCAAUUACAGUCAAGUACCAGGUACAUCUUAUUUUGAAUAUUUUUCAGUUAUUUAUCUGGCACAUUAACUAGUUCAUGCAUGUAGCUUCCCAGGACUCGCCAAGUUUUGCACUUUCACAAAAAAAAAAGUUAUAGCUCUACUUGUCUCCUUGGUUUUAGUAAAUGAAGGCAAAAACUAUAACAAGUUACAAACUCCUCCCCAUCUUUUUUAAUUCAAUGGACAGUAAGGCUCAACAAGCUGCGAGAUACAAAUUUUUUAUCAGUGGCUUUGAAGCAAAAUUAAGUAAAAAACUGAGUUUUCUUCAGUGUUCAGAAUGCUCAGAGCACUAGUUAUGGUAACAGCCAACACUUACAGGCUGCCUUUAUAUUCCAAACUCCUUAGUUUUAUCUGCACACACUCAUGUUUUGAAGUGCAAUAAAACUUGGCAUAUAACAGGGAUAUAAAAAUAGGGCUACUUAAAAAUCUACAGACACAUUCAUCAAGACAAAAGAAUAAAACAAUCAGUUGCAGAAAUUAACAUCAUUUUACACCUAGCACUGGAAAUGCUUCAAACCCAUCCUUGGAAUGUGCCCUGUGAAUCAAGUCUACGAACAACAUUAGGAGGAACAGCACUCUCUGCUUCCUCUUCCUGAUCCUCUUCAGCAUCAUUACCUACAUCAUCAUCAUCAUCAUCAACUGGAUCAAAGAAAUCCUUGUAUGUCAUAUCUCUGGAACUUUUAAUUGGCUAAAAAGGCAAGAGGGAAAGAAAGAAAACAAACAGCUGUUAAGACUGACAGAAAUCAAAGGGUAUCUGUCUUUUAAAGUUUUUAAUGCCUGAAGAAAAGUACUACUUGUGUAACAGUAAUUCAGGUUAGUGAUGCAUUAACCUGUGGCAGGGCAUCAUAGUAAAAUUUAUUUAUUUUCCUGGUAUUUACAGUUCUCUACCACUCACACAUACAGAAAUCAAGGAGCUGUAGAUUUUCCAGUGUUGUGUUGGAAUGGACACUAAUUCCCUGGGUAUAUCUCUUACUUGCUAGUAAGAAUGUCUGGUAAUAUUAAAUAAUAAAAUACUUCUUUUUGCAUCAA